CGUACACUCCUGCGGGAGGCAGCAGUGGGGAAUAUUGCACAAUGGGCGCAAGCCUGAUGCAGCCAUGCCGCGUGUGUGAAGAAGGCCUUCGGGUUGUAAAGCACUUUCAGCGGGGAGGAAGGCGAUACGGUUAAUAACCGUGUUGAUUGACGUUACCCGCAGAAGAAGCACCGGCUAACUCCGUGCCAGCAGCCGCGGUAAUACGGAGGGUGCAAGCGUUAAUCGGAAUUACUGGGCGUAAAGCGCACGCAGGCGGUCUGUCAAGUCGGAUGUGAAAUCCCCGGGCUCAACCUGGGAACUGCAUUCGAAACUGGCAGGCUUGAGUCUUGUAGAGGGGGGUAGAAUUCCAGGUGUAGCGGUGAAAUGCGUAGAGAUCUGGAGGAAUACCGGUGGCGAAGGCGGCCCCCUGGACAAAGACUGACGCUCAGGUGCGAAAGCGUGGGGAGCAAACAGGAUUAGAUACCCGUGUAGUCCCAUGAU
rnacentral:rRNA from 1 species